GAAACCAAGUGGUAUUUUUCCCCUUUUCCGCAUGUGCAGUAAUACUGCUGCUGCCCAGCCAUGCCAAGCCGGCAGCUUCCAUGCAGAAAAUGCAUAAUGAGCCCGGUGUUCGUGGGCAGCUCUGCAUCAGCUUGGGGUUUCCAGCAGCACUUCUGAAAUAUGUGCAGCCUGUUCAUUCGGCGCCUACACAGUCCAGCAAGCAGCGAGGGCAAGGAGGAACAGGGGCCCGGAACAGCCGGUCGCCGCUGCGAAUAGAACAACUCAUCCAUCCUGCAGCCUGUCGCCGAGCCGAGCUAUCCCAGAGGUCGCGCAUCUCUGCCAUGGAGCGUGACGAGCUUGCAAAGCGUAGGCGAAAAGGGGGAUGAAAAUCACGUUAAAUUAGAUACUUCUAAAGCAUCUUCAUGAUUUUCCAGACUUCUGGCUGUUGUCAUGUGGAUUCCCCCCCGGAUGAGGAAAAGGGGGAGAGAAAAUUGCUUCCAGAGAUGAUCUUAUAGCUGAUGAGAGAGACACCAGCUGAGGCAGCAGUAUCAUAGAGAUGGCAGGCAUUAGACGGAUGAUGUUUCUUCCUGUUCUUGUGCAAAGCUCUUAUGGAAGCUUUAUGAUACUGGAUAAUCCUUUUCAAAAUAACGCCGGGGCACCCCGUGGAAAGCCCCUGCUUGUCAACACUUAAAGUGUGGAAAUAAAAAACAUAAAAAAAAUGAGAUCA
rnacentral:lncRNA from 1 species